rnacentral:tRNA from 1 species
GCGUCCGUAGCUCAGCUGGAUAGAGCGUCGGCCUCCGAAGCCGAAGGCCAAAGGUUCGAAUCCUUUCGGACGCACCA